rnacentral:rRNA from 1 species
UACGAAGGGGGCUAGCGUUGUUCGGAUUUACUGGGCGUAAAGCGCACGUAGGCGGGUCGUUAAGUCAGGGGUGAAAGCCCGGGGCUCAACUCCGGAAUUGCCUUUAAGACUGCAUCGCUAGAAUUGUGGAGAGGUAAGUGGAAUUCCGAGUGUAGAGGUGAAAUUCGUAGAUAUUCGGAAGAACACCAGUGGCGAAGGCGACUUACUGGACACAUAUUGACGCUGAGGUGCGAAAGCGUGGGGAGCAAACAGG